rnacentral:pre_miRNA from 1 species
AGUAGAAUUGCUGGGUCACAUUGUAAAUUUAUAUUUAACUUUUUAGAAAACUGCUAAGCUAUUUUCCAAAGUGAUUGUACAGUUUCACAUUCCCAGCAGUAGU